rnacentral:rRNA from 1 species
UGAGGAAUAUUGGGCAAUGCCCGCAAGGGUGACCCAGCAACGCCGCGUGGAGGAUGAAUGUCGUAAGAUUGUAAACUCCUGUUAGAGGGGAAGAAUAGUACCGGUUGGACCGGUAUAUGACUGUACCCUCAGAGAAAGCCCCGGCUAACUACGUGCCAGCAGCCGCGGUAAUACGUAGGGGGCAAGCGUUGUCCGGAUUUACUGGGUGUAAAGGGCGCGCAGGCGGGAUAAAAAGUCAGUGGUGAAAUCCUACAGCUUAACUGUAGAACUGCCUUUGAUACUUUUAUUCUUGAGUUCGGGAGAGAGAGACGGAAUUCCAGGUGUAGUGGUGAAAUACGUAGAUAUCUGGAAGAACACCAGUUGCGAAGGCGGUCUCUUGGUCCGACACUGACGCUGAGGCGCGAAAGCGUGGGUAGCGAACA